AUGGAUCAGAAGGCGUUGACGGCUAUCUAUCAAAGUAUCCAGGAUGAUGUGUUUGCCUUCAUCACCGAGAAAGAGAAGUCACAUGAAGCUUGGGAGGCAAUAAAGACGAAUCUUGGAGAUGAUCGCAUCAAGGAGGCGAGGUUCCAAACCCUCAAGUCCGAGUUUGAGAGGCUCAAGAUGAAGGAUACGGAGUCAAUUGAUGACUUUGCUCUCCGGAUGACAACCAUCGCCAAUGGCAUACGAGGGCUUGGAGAAAAGUUCGAUGAGACAACUGCCAUCAAAAAAAUCCUUCGAGCGGUUUCAUCAAAGUUUCUUCAUAUUGCAUCUACCAUAGAGCAGUUUGGCGAUUUCAAGACUAUGACCAUGGAGGAAGUCAUAGGGAGGUUGAAGGUUCAUGAGGAACGACUGCAAGCCUAUGUCCAUAAUGAUCAAGACGGUGACCAACUUUUGCUGACAAGAUCGGAGUGGAUAGCAAGGGAGCGUGGGCGCCGUCACGAUAAAUCCAAAGUUAGAUGCUAUAAUUGUCAGGAAUAUGGGCACUUUGCUCGAGAGUGUCCUAAUCCGCACAAGGAGGCAAAGAAGCAGCAUGGGAUUCUUCAACUAGCUGAAGUGGACAUGGAUGAUGACCCGAGGUUGCUUUGA
rnacentral:rRNA from 1 species